CACUGGAUUACCACCUCUUCAGGGAUGAAAGAUUAAUCAUUCCUGGGCCUAAUUCCAAUUCAUUCUGAACAAGUCUAGCUUUUGAAAGCACAAUAAGGUGUCAUAGCACUUGAGAAAUUUCCAGACAAAAUACAGGAUGAUUGUUAAUAAAAUUAUGUGCUGAUUGGCUUUAUGGGGAGAAGAAGGUUUUGUGGAGAGAGUGAAAAGUCUUUAAUAAUCAGAAGAGGGCCAUGGGGGUACUAUGGUACUUUGAAUGCUGUUGUUGGGAUGAUAAGCUUCUUUUUAAACAUGGAUCCCACAAAUUAUCCAUUUUCUGUCUAUCUCAUCCUGCCUGUCUUCUAAAGUUCAGCACUGACUAAUUCUGUGCUCUGAAGCCUCAGGAUUUUCAGUGUUUCUGUGCCUAGCUCUGAUACUGAUUCCUUAUGAGAAUAUGUCUGUCUUACCUACCUGGAGCCGUAAGAUGGUACCUGGGUAGUUAUGUGCAAAUAUCAGAGAUUGGGGCCUUCCUCUGAAGUUAAAAAAUGGCAGUUAUGUGAUUAGUUUUAUGUCGAUUUGAUAGUUGCUUUUUCCCUGUCUUGAUUUUUCGGCUCAUAAAAUGCAGAUACAUCUCCGAGCUGUUAAAAAGCAAGCAAUCUAUACCUUGGAUCAUAAAUAAAUAUCACUAUUUUCAGCUCAUCAAAAUUAGUUUGCUUUUCUUUUUCCCCAGGAAACAUAAGCCAAAAGACAUUUCAGGAGACAGUGUUGCUUAACUGACUAUGAGAUCACUGCUUCACACCGUUCCUUUCUAUUUCUUUUUAUUUUCCUCCACAAAAUAAAGGCAGUUACUGUGUCUGGCCUCUACUGGCAUUUAUUUUUGAAGAAAACCAUCACCAUAUUAGACCUUUUUCUAGUAUUAAUACAGGCUUAUUUAACAACAUACCCCUUACAUACCCUUACAACAUUGGUCUAUGAAAAUAGCACAGAUUCUCAUGAUGAUGCUAUAUGGAAAAUCUGAAAUUUUACUGCAAGCUUGAGAAGAUAUUUUUCUGUUUAUGUGUGACACAAACUUACUGCAGAUGUCUGAUGGGAGCUGUUCUCCAUUCAGAUUCGGGAAGAAAGUCCAAUAACCAGGAAUUGGAACCAUUUAUUUGUUAUAGAUCAAGAUCCAGUCUUAUUAAUGUUUAAAUGUUUCAUGAAAACAGUUUGAUUUUGACAAUUGUGAUUUUUUCAAAAGAGGCAAAAGUCUCAUUUUGGGUUGUUUCAUGAUAGAAGCAGACCAGAGUUUUCUAGCUGAAAUUAAAAAAUAAACUUUUUUUUUUUUAAUUGAAUUGUGAAAAAUUGAAGUUUUCUGAAAAAGAAAGUAGGCAACAAAAUAACUGUUUUAAUAGCAUUACCCAGAAAUUAUAAGUUCUUGACCUGAUGUAUUAGCAGUAUACUUAAGGAUUCACCCGUGGAAGCUAAGAGAAGUACCUUACACCAACACUGCUCGUGUUUAAUCAGCAGCAACGGAUAUGAUAGAAAAAACAAGUGAUUUCGAACAAGUCAGAGAUGUAAAGAGGAAGCUUUUAAACUGCUUCAGCAAAAGUAUGUUUGAGGGGCAGCGAGAAGACCUCUUGGCAGUAUUUAAUACUCCUUAAUCAUCUUCCCUCAACUGAAGUUCAGAAUACUGUAGCUGAAACAAGGUUUUGUUUCUAUCAGCUGCUCAGACAGCUUCAAGUAAGGGGAGAGAAUGAGCUGUGUCUUCCCUGCUAGGAAAAAUUGGCACUUACCGUGUUGUUCAGAACACACCCUGCUCCUAACAUUACAAGGCUGUGUCCUCCCCUCUCUGAGACUAUGGGAAUUUUGGGUAAGUACACAGAAAGUAAUGGGGGUUUGCGUUGGUUUAAGCAACAUAGAGCAGCUCUUCUUUCUUUAGCUGGUUUCUGAGUUCUCUGUUGGAGCUGUUUCUGGUGAGCACUGUGCAGAUGCAGGCGAGAGGAUGUUUGAUGGGGCAGAGACGAAAGCACAGGUCUCCAUUUCAGGCAUUCAUGGCUAAUGAAAUGCAGAGCCAGGACAUGUUCCCCAGGCACUGAGUCUUGACACGAGGCCCUGCUUCUGGCUGCGACCCUCUUGCUCAGCUGUAAUGAAGCCAAUUUACAGACUGAGGUGAUCUUGCAACCUGUGGCUUGGUUACUUAUAGGCUUGAAGGCACAUUUGCUCCAAAUCCCAAUGUUCAUCUGCUGAUGUACAGGAGAUGUAUUAAUAAUGUAUUUGUGUAAUUCACAAACCUUUCCCAUUUUCCCUCCUGUCUGAGGCCCUUGUGCACUAGCUACUUCCCGUGAACACAUGUGAAGCUGAUAAACUUCCAAUCUUGCUUUGCCUAUUGUUGAGGAAACUGAGAAGCAUGAUAGCUGCAUGCCUGGCAAAGCAUGACAGUAACCAGUAAUGAGAGAUGAGUGUUUCAUUUGUUAGGCUAUUGGGCUCAUUGCACAGCUGCCCACGUGGCCAGGUAUUUGCCAUUAAACAAGAUGAUUAAUUCCUUGACAAGUUGAUGUCUGGCCUGGCAGUCCGGCAUUUCCUUUCGGCAUUUGUGGCUGAUUUGAGGAAUGCAGCUUUAUAGAUUUUUACUAAUUAUCUAAUAGCUUUUCAAUCUCUUGUUUCAGUACAUGGAACUGGUGUUAAUGAACUGCAGAUCUUCAGCAUACCAUUCUUAACUGAUUCCCCUAGGAGAAGAAAUGGAGUCAAAUAGGCACGCAAUGGUAAUGCAGUCAAAUAAGAACCAUGGCCUGAGUUUCUUUCACUAAUAAAAAGUUGUGCAAGCUUCAA